rnacentral:rRNA from 2 species
GCGGGAAGGGCCGGGGUGCUAUAAUGCAGUCGAGCGAACUGAUUAGAAGCUUGCUUCUAUGACGUUAGCGGCGGACGGGUGAGUAACACGUGGGCAACCUGCCUGUAAGACUGGGAUAACUUCGGGAAACCGAAGCUAAUACCGGAUAGGAUCUUCUCCUUCAUGGGAGAUGAUUGAAAGAUGGUUUCGGCUAUCACUUACAGAUGGGCCCGCGGUGCAUUAGCUAGUUGGUGAGGUAACGGCUCACCAAGGCAACGAUGCAUAGCCGACCUGAGAGGGUGAUCGGCCACACUGGGACUGAGACACGGCCCAGACUCCUACGGGAGGCAGCAGUAGGGAAUCUUCCGCAAUGGACGAAAGUCUGACGGAGCAACGCCGCGUGAGUGAUGAAGGCUUUCGGGUCGUAAAACUCUGUUGUUAGGGAAGAACAAGUACAAGAGUAACUGCUUGUACCUUGACGGUACCUAACCAGAAAGCCACGGGUAACUACGUGCCACCAGCCCCGGUAAUACGUAAUGGCAAGCGUUAUCCGGAAUUAUUGGGCGUAGAGUGCGCGCACGGGUUUCUUAGUGCUGAUGUGUGGGUACCCAAGCGCGGGUG